rnacentral:rRNA from 1 species
AUUGAACGCUGGCGGCAUGCUUUACACAUGCAAGUCGAACGGCAGCGCGGGCUUCGGCCUGGCGGCGAGUGGCGAACUGGUGAGUAAUACAUCGGAACGUGCCCAGUUGUGGGGGAUAGCUCGGCGAAAGCCGGAUUACUACCGCCUACUACCUGCGGGUGAAAGCGGGGGAUCUUCGGACCUUUCGCUCUUGGAGCGGCCGAUGGCAGAUUAGCUAGUUGGUGGGGUAAAGGCCUACCAAGGCGACCAUCUGUAGCUGGUCUGAGAGGACGACCAGCCACACUGGGACUGAGACACGGCCCAGACUACUACGGGAGGCAGCAGUGGGGAAUGUUGGACAAUGGGCGAAAGCCUGAUCCAGCAAUGCCGCGUGUGUGAUGAAGGCCUUCGGGUUGUAAAGAACGUUUGGAGGGAACGAAAAGGACUGGGCCAAUACCACGGUUCGAUGACGGUACCCGGAGAAUAAGCACCGGCUAACUACGUG